UACGUAGGGGGCAAGCGUUGUCUGGAUUUAUUGGGCGUAAAGAGCGUGUAGGCGGCCAUGUAGGUCCGUUGUGAAAACUCGAGGCUCAACCUCGAGACGCCGAUGGAAACCAUGUGGCUAGAGUCCGGAAGAGGAGAGUGGAAUUCCUGGUGUAGCGGUGAAAUGCGCAGAUAUCAGGAAGAACACCCGUGGCUAAGGCGGCUCUCUAGUACGGUACUGACGCUGAGACGCGAAAGCGUGGGGAGCGAACAGG
rnacentral:rRNA from 1 species